CCUCGUUUGUUCAGGGGCUGCCGGCCAGGGCUUCAGGACGUUUCUGCGGCUUUCCCCGCGCGGCCUGGGCUCCCGCGGCUGCUUUUCGGGCCCAUGGGCGCAGCCACUGCGCCAGGCUCAAGGGGGGCGGCCCCGUCAGGGCCCGCCAUCUUGGAAGGCCUUUUUUGCCGGUUCUUCCCGCUGAGGAAGUGUCGCUCAAGACGCUGGCCUAUGAGUUGUGAUUUCUGCCUUUUCCCCUUCCUCCUUGGGCUAAGCCAGACCAGAAAGGGCCCCGUGCGCAACGUGCUUCACAAUCUCUCAGGGAAAGCGGCUAACGUGGCGCUACUCCGCCUCCCCUGUUCCUUACCCUUGGGGCGGCCGCCAUGUUUCCUGAACACAAAAUGGCGACACGUGGUUAGCAUUCGUCGCCAACGAGAAAUUGGGGUCGGCCCGAAAGCUCUAGAAUGCACCCCUCUUCCUCCCCGGGGCCUUCCACCUCCGCGAGUUUUAUGACUUAAAAAAGCCCACAGGCUGGUCUGAAGGUCGGAGGCCUAAUUUUAACGCGUUUUCCUCCCUUUAAUUUGAAACGGGAACGCGAAUGACUGUAAAAUGUGGGCACAAUAUUUAAUCUCUCGCCUUUUUAAAGCUUAAUAGUGGAUAAUAGGGGGGCAGUAUCAAGGGAUAAUUUGGGUCCCCACAGUACCAAAGCAUUUAGAAACCUCUGUUUAAUUUAAGGAAUGAGAUAAGUUACUGCUUUUCUAGACUUCCUAGCAUGGGCUGUUGUGCUGGAGAGAACGAGAGCUACGAAGAGACUACAGUGCCUCUGACUUUUUCAUAGGACAGUUGGCCGAGGAAGACAAACAUAAAGAUGAAGUGCUUAAUUCAAGGUCACACAAUGUCGGGGAUGGACCUCCAGAUUUCCUUACUGACCUGCAUUAUCUUGUGGAUACCUGAGUGAAUUCCACACCACCCAUUUUAUAGAUGAAACCACUGAGACAUGGAGCAAUUGACUGAGUAGUCACUGCCCCACCCCUGCCUGGAGCCUCACACAUGACUCGCCUCCUCUCAGUGACCACAGGUGAGACGUGGUCUUGUAACACAGUGGUUAAGAAUGUGACUUUGGAGCCAGCCUGCUAGGGGCUGAAUUCUGACUCAGCCAUUUACUAACUGUGUGACCUUAGGCUGGAGUGCAAUGGCAUGAUCUCGGCUCAUCACAACCUCUGCUUCCUGGGUUCAAGCGAUUCUCCUGCCUCAGCCUCCCGAGUACCUGGGACUACAGGCACUCGCCACCAUGCCCGGCUGAUUUUUGUAUUUUUAAUAGAGAUGGUUUCACUAUGUUGGCCAGGCUGGUCUCGAACUCCUGACCUUGUGAUCUGCCCACCUCAGCCUCGAAAAGUGCUGGGAUUACAGGCGUGAGCCACUGCGCCCAGCCUUGUAUUUUUUUUCAGUUUGGGUAGCUGUCCCUAAUUCAUUUGUUAAAGGAGAAGCAAGAGCAAGAACCUUUAAUCUGUUCUCCUCUUCCCUAAUUUGAAAGUAGCUUGUUAUUUUGAAUAUCACUUUCUCUGAAAUAGCACAUCUCCAUCUCAGAGAAUGGAUUUAAUGUUUGGAUACAGCCAAAAGUCAUUUCAUUACCAAACCAUGGGGUGAAUAUACCAUGUAAAGCAGUUUGGGAUCAGAACUCACAGUCUGAAUUGUAAGUGAUGAGACUGCUGUCUCUCUGCUACAGCUUCUUGGCUGGCUCUGAAGGCUCUUUGAAGGCAGAUCCUAACAAGGGGACUGCUUUGAAGGGCCAUUGUUCAUUUGGAAUGAUAAAGUCUAUGUUGUUCAAAAAACAAAUGCUUGUAGCAGGUAUUUUUUCACUCCAGACUGAGAAUAUUGGUGGGAUAUUGAUAAGGGGUACUGAAUGGUAAUAAACAUGUGCUCUAGCUCUGUGCUAGUCAGCUUAUUUCAGAACUCUAGUUUGAUUCAGUUUCUUGCCUCUGACUCAAAAUGGAGGGAGAGUGAUUUUUACAUAAGAGAACACACCCACAUAUCCUUUUGGCAGCAGCUACCUGCCAGAGAUGUUGAAGAAGAGUAGCCAACCUUUACACAGCAGAUAUUGUGUGCCAGUCAUAGUCCUAAGUAUAAUACCUUACAUGUAUAAACUUCUUAUAAGGUUGGUGCUCUGUACCGAAUUGAAUAGUAUCCCCCAAAAUUCAUGUUGUCCCAGAACCUAUGAAAGUGAUC
rnacentral:lncRNA from 1 species